rnacentral:rRNA from 1 species
UCCUCCCUCUGGCGGCGUGCCUAAUACAUGCAAGUUGAGCGCUGAAGGUUGGUACUUGUACCUACUGGAUGAGCAGCGAACGGGUGAGUAACGCGUGGGGAAUCUGCCUUUGAGCGGGGGACAACAUUUGGAAACGAAUGCUAAUACCGCAUAAAAACUUUAAACACAAGUUUUAAGUUUGAAAGAUGAAAUUGCCUCACUCAAAGAUGAUCCCGCGUUGUAUUAGCUAGUUGGUGAGGUAAAGGCUCACCCAGGCGAUGAUACAUAGCCGACCUGAGAGGGUGAUCGGCCACAUGGGGACUGAGACACGGCCCAAACUCCUACGGGAGGCAGCAGUAGGGAAUCUUCGGCAAUGGACGAAAGUCUGACCGAGCAACGCCGCGGUAGUGAAGAAGGUUUUCGGAUCGUAAAACUCGGUUGGUAGAGAAGAACGUUGGUGAGAGUGGAAAGCUCAUCAAGUGACGGUAACUACCCAGAAAGGGACGGCUAACUACGUG